rnacentral:tRNA from 2 species
GCGCCUGUAGCUCAGUGGAUAGAGCACCGGACUUCUAAUCCGACGGUCGCAGGUUCGAAUCCUGCCAGGCGCG